ensembl:snRNA U4 U4 spliceosomal RNA
UUCCCUGCACAGUGGCAAUAUUGUAGCCAAUGAAGUUAAUCUGAGGCACAGUUACUGCUAAUUGGAAACUUCUCACCUCUUUUCUGAUCACAAAGCAGUUGUUAAUUUAUGAUAUUAUUGUCUUCAAAGUA